UACGUAGGGGGCGAGCGUUGUCCGGAUUUACUGGGCGUAAAGCGCGUGUAGGCGGUUGCCCAAGUCGGGUGUGAAAGCCUUGAGCUCAACUCAAGAAAUGCACUCGGUACUGGGUGACUAGAGGACCGGAGAGGAUAGUGGAAUUCCCAGUGUAGUGGUGAAAUACGUAGAGAUUGGGAAGAACACCAGUGGCGAAGGCGGCUAUCUGGACGGUUUCUGACGCUAAGACGCGAAAGCGUGGGGAGCAAACAGG
rnacentral:rRNA from 1 species